rnacentral:rRNA from 1 species
AGUCGAACGAUGAUGCCCAGCUUGCUGGGCGGAUUAGUGGCGAACGGGUGAGUAAUACGUGAGUAACCUGCCCUUGACUCUGGGAUAAGCCUGGGAAACUGGGUCUAAUACUGGAUACUACCGUCCACCGCAUGGUGGGUGGUGGAAAGGGUUUUACUGGUUUUGGAUGGGCUCACGGCCUAUCAGCUUGUUGGUGGGGUAAUGGCUCACCAAGGCGACGACGGGUAGCCGGCCUGAGAGGGUGACCGGCCACACUGGGACUGAGACACGGCCCAGACUCCUACGGGAGGCAGCAGUGGGGAAUAUUGCACAAUGGGCGGAAGCCUGAUGCAGCGACGCCGCGUGAGGGAUGACGGCCUUCGGGUUGUAAACCUCUUUCAGUAGGGAAGAAGCGAGAGUGACGGUACCUGCAGAAGAAGCGCCGGCUAACUACGUGCCAGCAGCCGCGGUAAUACGUAGGGCGCAAGCGUUGUCCGGAAUUAUUGGGCGUAAAGAGCUCGUAGGCGGUUUGUCGCGUCUGCUGUGAAAGCCCGGGGCUCAACCCCGGGUCUGCAGUGGGUACGGGCAGACUAGAGUGCAGUAGGGGAGACUGGAAUUCCUGGUGUAGCGGUGAAAUGCGCAGAUAUCAGGAGGAACACCGAUGGCGAAGGCAGGUCUCUGGGCUGUUACUGACGCUGAGGAGCGAAAGCAUGGGGAGCGAACAGGAUUAGAUACCCUGGUAGUCCAUGCCGUAAACGUUGGGCACUAGGUGUGGGGGACAUUCCACGUUUUCCGCGCCGUAGCUAACGCAUUAAGUGCCCCGCCUGGGGAGUACGGCCGCAAGGCUAAAACUCAAAGGAAUUGACGGGGGCCCGCACAAGCGGCGGAGCAUGCGGAUUAAUUCGAUGCAACGCGAAGAACCUUACCAAGGCUUGACAUUCACCGGACCGCCCCAGAGAUGGGGUUUCCCUUCGGGGCUGGUGGACAGGUGGUGCAUGGUUGUCGUCAGCUCGUGUCGUGAGAUGUUGGGUUAAGUCCCGCAACGAGCGCAACCCUCGUUCUAUGUUGCCAGCACGUGAUGGUGGGGACUCAUAGGAGACUGCCGGGGUCAACUCGGAGGAAGGUGGGGAUGACGUCAAAUCAUCAUGCCCCUUAUGUCUUGGGCUUCACGCAUGCUACAAUGGCCGGUACAAAGGGUUGCGAUACUGUGAGGUGGAGCUAAUCCCAAAAAGCCGGUCUCAGUUCGGAUUGAGGUCUGCAACUCGACCUCAUGAAGUCGGAGUCGCUAGUAAUCGCAGAUCAGCAACGCUGCGGUGAAUACGUUCCCGGGCCUUGUACACACCGCCCGUCAAGGCACGAAAGUUGGUAACACCCGAAGCCGGUGGCCUAACC